ensembl:lncRNA
AGCCUCUGGAGGAUAUGAUGGCAGAGAAUUAACCUGUCAGCUCACUAAGUCAAGUGAGUCCAUAAGCUCCCAUCCCGUACUUUUCUACAAGCUGCAGUUAUCUGACAGCACAGCAAUUUCCUGUGCUCGCCCAGCUCCUGAAACCUUCUCUGAGGAAGACAAGUACCUGCUGAAAAGCUGCGCCUCCACUUACGUAUUUUCUGUAGUGCACACUCAAAGAUAAAAGCAAGCAGAAGAAGGUUGCUAUGACUACCAUGUUCCAAUCACCUUGCAACCAUGUCUUCCCAGCUCUGUGAUCGUCAAUGAUCUCGAAUUCACCGAUGUAGCCAUGCUUUGUCAUCACAGUUAAGAACCAAACGAUGAUGACUCUAGACCUCGGCCUGAUGAGGACCUGGAGUUUGCCUGUCUUCUCAGUGUUGUGAUGCCUUUGAGAGCUUCUGACAGAACAUUCAUUCUCACACGGUGACUAGAGUAAAGGGAUGGCACAUAUAUCGGAUGGAUGAACACAGAGCUUUACAAACACUCACUCACCAGUGAGAGAAGAUGGCAGAAAGACAAUGUCAUCUUUCUUGAAUCUUUGGGAUUAACACUGUGAAAGUCAAAGGGUUUUGUUAACACUGUACACACAAAUUACUGGAAACUAUAAAAACAUUUAUAGGGUACAUAGAAACUAUUAAAUGAAAUAAAAGUAACAAAAUCAACAACUCAGUGGGUGUAGGAUGAGAAGGAAGGAAGGGUGGGAGAAAAGUUUUAGAGAGGGGAAGAGACUGGAAGGAGUGAGGAGAAAAGUAGCCGAGAAAACAUGGAGGCUCAAGAUUCCUCUCAGUACAUUUACAGGUUGUUAUGGAUAUUCUUAAGGGAUGGAUGUGUACAUGGCUUUGUAUGUCUAGAAGAGCAAAUUAUAUCUUAUCAAUUGGAUCAGAGGUUAUUGUGUUGUGUGUUCUUUCAUGUGGCGAUUUAAGUUCAAGAGAAUGUGUGGUGACUGGAGACACGUGUAUGUCUGGCAUGGUGGCAACCUGCCUUGGGAACUAGAUGGGCAGGGAGAUUGCUGCCAGACUCAGAAGCCAUCAACAGUGUGAUGUGGGAUAGAGCAAAGCAGGUGAGAUGCUUUGCUGAUUGAGAUGAAGAUAUCUACCAGAUAUCUUGGGGCACCGCGGUGCCAGACCUAGG